GUGAGGAAUAUUGCACAAUGGGCGAAAGCCUGAUGCAGCAACGCCGCGUGAGUGAUGAAGGCCUUUGGGUCGUAAAACUCUGUCCUUGGGGAAGAAAAAAAUGACGGUACCCUUGGAGGAAGCCCCGGCUAACUACGUGCCAGCAGCCGCGGUAAUACGUAGGGGGCAAGCGUUAUCCGGAAUUAUUGGGCGUAAAGAGUGCGUAGGUGGUUUUGUAAGCGUAGGGUGAAAGGCAGUAGCUCAACUAUUGUUAGCCCUGCGAACUGUGAGACUUGAGUGCAGGAGAGGAAAGUGGAAGUCCUAGUGUAGCGGUGAAAUGCGUAGAUAUUAGGAGGAACACCAGUGGCGAAGGUGACUUUCUGGACUGUAACUGACACUGAGGCACGAAAGCGUGGGUAGCAAACAGGAUUAGAAACCCGAGUAGUCC
rnacentral:rRNA from 1 species